rnacentral:rRNA from 1 species
UACGGAAGGCAGCAGUGGGGAAUAUUGCACAAUGGGCGAAAGCCUGAUGCAGCUAUGCCGCGUGUAUGAAGAAGGCCUUAGGGUUGUAAAGUACUUUCAUCGGGGAGGAAAAAACAAAACUAAUAAUUUAUUUCUUGACGUUACCCGAAAAAGAAGCACCGGCUAACUCCGUGCCAGCAGCCGCGGUAAUACGGAGGGUGCUAGCGUUAAUCAGAAUUACUGGGCGUAAAGAGCACGUAGGUGGUUUUUUUAGGUCAGAUGUGAAAUCCCUGGGCUUAACCUAGGAACUGCAUUUUGAAACUGAAAUACUAGAGUAUCGUAGAGGGAGGUAGAAUUCUAGGUGUAGCGGUGAAAUGCGUAGAUAUCUGGAGGAAUACCUGUGGCGAAAGCGGCCUCCUAAACGAAUACUGACACUGAGGUGCGAAAGCGUGGGGAGCAAACAGGGAUUAGAUACC